GAUGAACGCUAGCGGCAGGCUUAAUACAUGCAAGUCGAGGGACAGCACAGGUAGCAAUACUGGGUGGUAACCGGCAAACGGGUGCGGAACACGUACACAACCUUCCUUUAAGUGGGGGAUAGCCCAGAGAAAUUUGGAUUAAUACCCCGUAAUAUAGUUGAAUGGCAUCAUUUGAUUAUUAUAGCUACGGCGCUUAAUGAUGGGUGUGCGGCUGAUUAGAUAGUUGGCGGGGUAACGGCCCACCAAGUCUACGAUCAGUAGCUGAUGUGAGAGAAUGAUCAGCCAAACUGGCACUGAGACACGGGCCCGACUCCUACGGGAGGCAGCAGUAAGGAAUAUUGGUCAAUGGACGCAAGUCUGAACCAGCCAUGCCGCGUGAAGGAUUAAGGUCCUCUGGAUUGUAAACUUCUUUUAUUUGGGACGAAAAAGGGCCUUUCUAGGUCAACUGACGGUACCAGAUGAAUAAGCACCGGCUAACUCCGUGCCAGCCGCCGCGGUAAAAC
rnacentral:rRNA from 1 species